AGUCUGGUGCCAGCAGCCGCGGUAAUUCCAGCUCCAAUAGCGUAUAUUAAACUUGUUGCAGUUAAAAAGCUCGUAGUUGAAUUUCUGCGUUAUCGAGUUAUUGACUCUUGUCUUUAAUCGAUUUCGCUUUUGGGAUUUAUCCCUUUUUACUUUGAGAAAAUUAGAGUGUUUCAAGCAGACUUUUGUCUUGAAUACUUCAGCAUGGAAUAAUAGAGUAGGACUUUGGUUCUAUUUUGUUGGUUUUUGAACCUUAGUAAUGGUUAAUAGGAACGGUUGGGGGCAUUCGUAUUUAACUGUCAGAGGUGAAAUUCUUAGAUUUGUUAAAGACGAACUACUGCGAAAGCAUUUGCCAAGGACGUUUCCAUUAAUCAAGAACGAAAGUUAGGGGAUCGAAGACGAUCAGAUACCGUCGUAGUCCUA
rnacentral:rRNA from 1 species